rnacentral:lncRNA from 1 species
CAUGUUCAUGAUUUUAUUUAAAUGAAUAAACAACCAAGGCACAUAACAUCGUUAACAAAAUUUUAACAAUCUAAGCUAAAAGAAUGAAUCAAUCUAACAACAACAGAAUUAAGUUACUUUAAUUAAAUUAAAAGUAGAAAAAUAUUUAGCAAUCAUGUUUAUCAAUUCAGAACAAAAUAAAAGUUAAAAGGGAAAGAAACUAGAAGACGAAUCCAGUGUUUUUCUGUAACUCAAUUUGUGUUCCUUUUCCUCCUUCCUUCUGCUUUGCUCCUUCACACAAUUGCCUUCAAAAAUGCCGAAUUUUAUUGCUCAAAAGAACUUCUGAAAUGCUCCUCUAAAACUCUUGUGUUGCUCUCUCAAAUGGAAAGUGAAAAGAUGAAGAAUGAGAGAAGAGAUGGUGAGUGAGGGAUGAGUGAAAUGAGUGAAUAGAAAUAGGCUAUUUAUACUUGUAGAGGCUGGCUAAUUUUAGCGAAUGAGAGCCUUGAAAAUCUCUUCUCAUAUGGUCAACCCUUGCUUUAAGAAAAGUGAGUGGAUGGCUUUGAAAUU